UACGGAGGAUGCAAGCGUUAUCCGGAAUUAUUGGGCGUAAAGCGUCCGCAGGUGGCACUUCAAGUCUGCUGUCAAAGACCGGGGCUUAACCCUGGAAAGGCAGUGGAAACUGAAGCGCUAGAGUGUGGCAGGGGUAGAGGGAAUUCCCGGUGUAGCGGUGAAAUGCGUGGAGAUCGGGAAGAACAUCGGUGGCGAAAGCGCUCUACUGGGCCAUAACUGACACUCAGGGACGAAAGCUAGGGGAGCGAAUGGG
rnacentral:rRNA from 1 species